UUAAGAUCUACUGAAUGAGCACAACGAAAGCUCAGCUUCAAUAGGUCUCAGCAGACCAGGAGUAUUUCGAGCAAACUCCACCUCGGCCAGUCUUUGGAAAUCAUUUCUCAGCAGAUAUCGUUCAUCCCUCCUUGCUUAUUUUGUUAAUGAAAUCAAAGAAACUUGCAGGUAUUGUUCACCCCUCCUUACUCAUUUUGUUGACAAAUUCCAAGAUUGAUUUAUAACUUUAAGUGUUCAGAUUUUGUUUCGUGUCAGAUGCACAUGCCGUGUGUUGCUGCUGAUUUUUGAGUUUGUAAUGAACCAAACACUAUGCCUUUCAUAUGUUCAACUCUGCACUUCUUCAGGUCCCUUCCUUUUUUUUAUUCUAGCAACUUAACUUCUACUGCAUCCUCUAAAAGUUUCAUUGUCCAUUCAAAAUAUUUUUCAUCUCAGCUAUGUGAUCGCUGUGGCAUGUUAUUUAGACAAUUAGCCAGAUUUGUAUUGGAAGAUGAAGAUGCAGCCAAAAGGGUCUGACGGACUCCUUUUACCCUACAUGGAAACCAGAACUACAUAGAGAUCCCUAAAGGCACUGCAUCGGCAGUGGUUGGGACAAUGUAUGGGGUAACUAACUUCUUCAAUGUUGCUCUGAAUACAGUGUUAUGCUCUCACAUAAAUUCGAAGAAUUCUUUAAUGUAUUGUUUGUUUACCAUGAAAGCAAUUGGUUAUGAUUGGAAAUACAAUUCAAGUUGUGCAGAGCCUCCAAUGCAGUCUGGGAUUUUCAAAUCCAGUCUCUUUUUUAUCUUUCAUCACUCUCUCUCAUCACAGCUUGCUCAAUAAAAGGGAAAAUGAAGUUGCCAGUGUUGUAAAUACAGUUCUGGUGGUAUAUUCAAGGUCAGAAUCUCUAUUUUGAGUGGGAUCUGAUGAAUGGGGGUAUCAUUCUCAUGUCUCUUCGCCGAGAAAGAUGACGUGGAAGCUUCUCUAGACUCCCAGUUAAGUCCAUAAGCUCAGUGAUGACAAAGCGUGGAAAACUUUAAAGAAAUCUGUCAAGGAGGAAUGAAGAAUACUCUAGAGCCCACGAUCUUGAAGUGGUAAAAUGGUUGUUAAGAAAUCCGUUCACUUCAAACGGAUGCAACUUGGAGAAAUUGAUCACGCUUAACAUGUCUGUCUUGAAAGAAGAUUACACAAAAUAGAAUGGCUUUGAGUUGACUUUGAGUUAACCAAUCUCGGGUUUGUUAGAGAAAUCUCAGUUUUUGAUCAGAGGAACCCCAAACACGAAGCUGCUAUUAAUUUACAGAAAAUGUACAAAAGCUUUCGUACCAGGUGAAAGCUCGCGGAUUGUGUAGUGCUCGUUGAGGAAACUGCAAGCUCUUAGAUUUUGGUGAGCUGAAGAGAAGUUGUAUAUCAUUCUUUGAUAUUAAGAAACAUGAAAUCGCGAAUUCAGGUGGCCUAGAUCUUGGACAAGAGCAGCUAAGUUUGGCAAAGGUUUGUUAAAGAAUGGAAAGGCACAAAAGCUUGCUUUACAACACUCGCUUGAGGCUGUCAGUUAUAGAGAGACUAAUCUCAGUUUCAGUUUCCUUUUUUUUUUAAUUCUACUUUUUGGAUUGAGCCUAAUCUGAUCUUGGUUUAUGCACUUUGUUGCAACAUAUUGACCCUUAGACAUUGGUAUGGACACAAUAUUUAUUUUUACUACAAGUUGCUCCGCUGUCAGAGUAGAGUCCCUUACUUCUACUGGUUUGAUAUUGACGAGGGGGAAGAAGUAAACCUUGUGGAGAAGUGUCCUCAAUUGAAACUUCAGCAACAGUGCAUCAAUCACAUUGGUCCGCUUCUAAGGUUGCUGUGGAAAACGAGAAAUUCUUCUACAAGAACAGUGGAGAAAUGCUUUAAACUUCUUCUAUGGAAGAUAGUGAUUCCAAAUGGAUUUGGUGCUCAACACAUCGACAGUGUUGUACGUUGGGGAGAAGAAGGGUACGUUUCAACAUUCAAGCUUCUUAGCUGGAGAAGCAACUGUUGAUGCAUGAAGAUUUGUUGUUGAGAAUGGUGUUCUUAAAGACAUCAAUCAUUAAACUAUCUUUGUAAGCAAAAUCAACUCAUAUUUUUUAAGAAUCCCUUAAGAUUCUUUAAAACCCUAAAUAAAAACUUUAAUGUCAGUUAAAAAUGUCAAAUCAGUGAUUCUUAAGUCAAAAACAAUGUUUAAAUCAAUUAUGAUUAACAAAUUAGUUUUAUGAGAAACCAAAUAUGUAAAAUAAAAGACAUCUUCAUUAACCAAAAUUUAGUUAAGUCUUUAUUCAAUUUGCUC